rnacentral:rRNA from 1 species
UACGUAGGGUGCGAGCGUUAAUCGGAAUUACUGGGCGUAAAGCGUGCGCAGGCGGUUUUGUAAGCCAGAUGUGAAAUCCCCGGGCUUAACCUGGGAAUGGCAUUUGGGACUGCAAGGCUUGAGUGCGGCAGAGGAGAUUGGAAUUCCUGGUGUAGCAGUGAAAUGCGUAGAUAUCAGGAGGAACACCGAUGGCGAAGGCAGGUCUCUGGGCUGACACUGACGCUCAUGCACGAAAGCGUGGGGAGCAAACAGG